rnacentral:tRNA from 1 species
UCCCUGGUGGUCCAGUGGCUAAGACUCUGCUCUUCUACUGCAGAGCACAGGUUCAAUCCCUGGCUGAGGAA